rnacentral:RNase_P_RNA from 1 species
CAGGGGGCCGAGGCAGCCGCGUUAUCGCAAGAUACCGAGGAAAGUCCGGGCUCCACGAAACGAAGGUGGCGGGUAACGCCCGCCGGGCGAAAGUCUUCGGACCCAAGCUCAGGGAAAGUGCCACAGAGAGUAUACCGCCGAUGGCGCGCGCUGCUUGCAGCUCUGCGCACAGGCAAGGGUGAAAGGGUGCGGUAAAAGCGCACCGGGGCGCUGGUAACAGCGUCCGCAUGGCAAACCCCACCUGGAGCAAGGCCAAAUAGGGGUCUCGCGCUCGCCUUCGGGCAGGGCAGGAGUGGUUCGCUCCGAGAGACCCGGGUUGGCUGCUCGAGCUGCUCAGCAAUGGGCAGCCUAGACGAAUGGCUGCCACCGCAGUCCAGGUCUUUGGGCUUGUCCUGGAGAUACCGGCUGCGGAGACAGAACCCGGCUUAUGAGGCCCCCUGACGA